rnacentral:rRNA from 1 species
AUGCUUAAAGUAGAAACUCGAAAGAGGGACGACCUGUAUCCAGUCAGGAAUUUGCACAGGUGCUGCAUGGCUGUCGUCAGCUCGUGCCGUGAGGUGUUAGGUUAAGUCCUGCAACGACGCGCAACCCUCGUCGCUAGUUAUUUUCUCUAGCGAUACUGCCCGUAUAACGUGGAGGAAGGUGGGGAUGACGUCAAGUCAGCAUGGCCCUUACAUCCUCGGGCUACACACACGCUACAAUGGGUGAUACAAAAGGUUGCGAUAGAGCGAUCUGGAGCCAAUCCCCAAAAUCAUCCUCAGUACGGAUUGGCAGGCUGCAACUGCCUGCAUGAAGUUGGAGUUGCUAGUAAACGCAGGUCAGCACACUGCGUUGAAUACGUUCUCGGGCCUU